rnacentral:rRNA from 1 species
GGUUAAGCGACUAAGCGUACACGGUGGAUGCCCUGGCAGUCAGAGGCGAUGAAGGACGUGCUAAUCUGCGAAAAGCGUCGGUAAGGUGAUAUGAACCGUUAUAACCGGCGAUGUCCGAAUGGGGAAACCCAGUGCAAUUCGUUGCACUAUCGUUAACUGAAUACAUAGGUUAACGAGGCGAACCGGGGAACUGAAACAUCUAAGUACCCCGAGGAAAAGAAAUCAACCGAGAUUCCCCCAGUAGCGGCGAGCGAACGGGGAGCAGCCCAGAGUCUGAAUCAGCUUGUGUGUUAGUGGAACGGUCUGGAAAGUCCGACGGUACAGGGUGAUAGUCCCGUACACCAAAAUGCACAGGCUGUGAACUCGAAGAGUAGGGCGGGACACGUGGUAUCCUGUCUGAAUAUGGGGGGACCAUCCUCCAAGGCUAAAUACUCCUGACUGACCGAUAGUGAACCAGUACCGUGAGGGAAAGGCGAAAAGAACCCCGGCGAGGGGAGUGAAAAAGAACCUGAAACCGUGUACGUACAAGCAGUGGGAGCACCUUCGGGUGUGACUGCGUACCUUUUGUAUAAUGGGUCAGCGACUUAUAUUCUGUAGCAAGGUUAACCGUAUAGGGGAGCCGCAGGGAAACCGAGUCUUAACUGGGCGUUAAGUUGCAGGGUAUAGACCCGAAACCCGGUGAUCUAGCCAUGGGCAGGUUGAAGGUUGGGUAACACUAACUGGAGGACCGAACCGACUAAUGUUGAAAAAUUAGCGGAUGACUUGUGGCUGGGGGUGAAAGGCCAAUCAAACCGGGAGAUAGCUGGUUCUCCCCGAAAGCUAUUUAGGUAGCGCCUCGUGAAUUCAUCUUCGGGGGUAGAGCACUGUUUCGGCUAGGGGUCAUCCCGACUUACCAACCCGAUGCAAACUACGAAUACCGAAGAAUGUUAUCACGGGAGACACACGGCGGGUGCUAACGUCCGUCGUGAAGAGGGAAACAACCCAGACCGCCAGCUAAGGUCCCAAAGUCAUGGUUAAGUGGGAAACGAUGUGGGAAGGCACAGACAGCCAGGAUGUUGGCUUAGAAGCAGCCAUCAUUUAAAGAAAGCGUAAUAGCUCACUGGUCGAGUCGGCCUGCGCGGAAGAUGUAACGGGGCUAAACCAUGCACCGAAGCUGCGGCAGCGACACUAUGUGUUGUUGGGUAGGGGAGCGUUCUGUAAGCCUGCGAAGGUGUGCUGUGAGGCAUGCUGGAGGUAUCAGAAGUGCGAAUGCUGACAUAAGUAACGAUAAAGCGGGUGAAAAGCCCGCUCGCCGGAAGACCAAGGGUUCCUGUCCAACGUUAAUCGGGGCAGGGUGAGUCGACCCCUAAGGCGAGGCCGAAAGGCGUAGUCGAUGGGAAACAGGUUAAUAUUCCUGUACUUGGUGUUACUGCGAAGGGGGACGGAGAAGGCUAUGUUAGCCGGGCGACGGUUGUCCCGGUUUAAGCAUGUAGGCUGGUUGUCCAGGCAAAUCCGGAUAAUCAAGGCUGAGGUGUGAUGACGAGGCACUACGGUGCUGAAGUAACAAAUGCCCUGCUUCCAGGAAAAGCCUCUAAGCAUCAGGUAACAUCAAAUCGUACCCCAAACCGACACAGGUGGUCAGGUAGAGAAUACCAAGGCGCUUGAGAGAACUCGGGUGAAGGAACUAGGCAAAAUGGUGCCGUAACUUCGGGAGAAGGCACGCUGGUGUGUAGGUGAAGCCCCUGCGGGUGGAGCUGAGACCAGUCGAAGAUACCAGCUGGCUGCAACUGUUUAUUAAAAACACAGCACUGUGCAAACACGAAAGUGGACGUAUACGGUGUGACGCCUGCCCGGUGCCGGAAGGUUAAUUGAUGGGGUUAUCCGUAAGGAGAAGCUCUUGAUCGAAGCCCCGGUAAACGGCGGCCGUAACUAUAACGGUCCUAAGGUAGCGAAAUUCCUUGUCGGGUAAGUUCCGACCUGCACGAAUGGCGUAAUGAUGGCCAGGCUGUCUCCACCCGAGACUCAGUGAAAUUGAACUCGCUGUGAAGAUGCAGUGUACCCGCGGCAAGACGGAAAGACCCCGUGAACCUUUACUAUAGCUUGACACUGAACAUUGAGCCUUGAUGUGUAGGAUAGGUGGGAGGCUUUGAAGCGUGGACGCCAGUCUGCGUGGAGCCAACCUUGAAAUACCACCCUUUAAUGUUUGAUGUUCUAACGUUGGCCCCUUACCGGGGUUGCGGACAGUGUCUGGUGGGUAGUUUGACUGGGGCGGUCUCCUCCCAAAGCGUAACGGAGGAGCACGAAGGUUAGCUAAUCCUGGUCGGACAUCAGGAGGUUAGUGCAAUGGCAUAAGCUAGCUUGACUGCGAGCGUGACGGCGCGAGCAGGUGCGAAAGCAGGUCAUAGUGAUCCGGUGGUUCUGAAUGGAAGGGCCAUCGCUCAACGGAUAAAAGGUACUCCGGGGAUAACAGGCUGAUACCGCCCAAGAGUUCAUAUCGACGGCGGUGUUUGGCACCUCGAUGUCGGCUCAUCACAUCCUGGGGCUGAAGUAGGUCCCAAGGGUAUGGCUGUUCGCCAUUUAAAGUGGUACGCGAGCUGGGUUUAGAACGUCGUGAGACAGUUCGGUCCCUAUCUGCCGUGGGCGCUGGAGAAUUGAGGGGGCUGCUCCUAGUACGAGAGGACCGGAGUGGACGCAUCACUGGUGUUCGGGUUGUCAUGCCAAUGGCACUGCCCGGUAGCUAAAUGCGGAAGAGAUAAGUGCUGAAAGCAUCUAAGCACGAAACUUGCCCCGAGAUGAGUUCUCCCUGAGACUUUAAGUCUCCUGAAGGAACGUUGAAGACGACGACGUUGAUAGGCCGGGUGUGUAAGCGCAGCGAUGCGUUGAGCUAACCGGUACUAAUGAACCGUGAGGCUUAACCUU